rnacentral:ncRNA from 1 species
CCCAGCUAAUGCCAAACCUGUUGAAAAGCAGAGACGGAAAGCUCCGGGUCUUUCCUCUAAAACUUCGCAAGAUAGCCGAGCUACCUAA